rnacentral:miRNA from 1 species
CCUGGGAAUCUGUGUAACAAGAUCUUAUGCAGUGGGGUAAAGGAGCACAAGAUUCUGCAUUUUGAGCAAGCUACCAGGUUAU